CGGACUUUCCGAGCGCUGGGACGAGCGGGCCGCCGGCUGGAGCCUUAGGGCUACAGAACCCGGAGCAGGCGGCUACACUGUCGGGCGCAGAGUUACGUUGUUGCGCCGGGGCGGUGGGGUAGAAUGUAUCUCUCGCCGCGUCCCCAAAUGUGGCUCCUUGUUGGACUUGAACGGAGCGUGUGGCUCGUCAGGGGCUUACUGAGGGUUUUUAUUUACUUGAAAAGGACCAACACAGCUCCCUGACUUUAGGGAGAUCUUGCCAUUUUCUUUCAAUCCUCCAAUCCGUGAGCCGUGCGGCUGCUGGAUAAGGAGUUCUUUUCUAAGCGAGUUUCUAAAUUUACCAGCAGUGCCCCGGAAGAGGCCAACACAUGCAUAUUCAGCACCAAAUAAGACUGGCACGCGGUUUUUUUUUUUUUUUUUUUUUUUUAAACAAACGGCUUUGCUGUUUGAAGGGUGGGCGGGAACGUGCUGUUUUUAGAAAAAUGUCAAGAACUUCUCUGAAUCACAUUAGGCAUGCUAAUUACCAAAUAUUAAAUGCUGAUUGCUCUACACGCAUAGUUCUUCGCAUGCCAGGGAAGGGAGGUGGAACUGGUGUAAGCUACUGGGGACAUGACAGGGAUGUUUUUUGACUGACAUUCCGCAGCCUCCACUUGGAGGUGGGAAGCAUGUUCUCUGUAACCUCAGAUGAGUAACACACUAGUGUUUAUCAGUGCAAGCCUCAAGGCUUACAGCAACAAUGUGUCUUGGUUGAUUUUAAGCUGCUUUUCGGGGGAAGGUGAGCCAAGACAAUAAAAGAAUUGCUUGGAGAUGUCUCAUAGGGAGCUGCUUCGAGACCUGAGGUCAUUCAGCCCAUCCCAGGACUAAAAUCAUAUGGAAUUCUGAAGAAAUUCAAUGCUACAUUAUUACUACAAAAAUGGAAAUCUAAAUGUUCAAAAAUGGUGAGCUAGAAGGAAUUUUGGAAUGAGGAAAGAUAAAAACUUUUUCAGUGUGAAAAACUGUAGAAACAUGAAUCCAAGUUUGGAAAUGAACAGACAUGUGGUACAAAGCCUUGAUACCAAGGUGUGAAAGUUUCUCUCCGCAUGGAAGGAUUACAGAUGUAAUUUUUCUCGUUUCCUCAUUCCGUCAGUGAACAUGCCAUUACUUUUCCAAUUGGGGAAAACGACGUUAAAAAGAAACAAAAGGGAGCGAGACAGGAAGAGGGAGGGAACCCGCAGUGGCUCCGAAGCUGCACCAGCCACCUCCCCGAGGGCGUCUGUACCCUGCGGCUUCGCUGACAUGACCUGAGGGCACGGGAAGGAGAAAUGGGAAGAUCUGGGAAAACCUCAAGUCUAUUUGCUCGGAGGUGACCCCGGGAAGCUGUAUGGUUGGUUAACAGGCGGCGAGGGACAGGAAUGUGAGUCCUGGGACGCAGGGACCGUCAGGUGGAUGGCACUUGGCAAGGCCCUCCCCUCCUCCUAUCUCAGCUGCCCGACGGACAGAGAGGGAUCUGGCCAAGAGAGGCUCUCUGAAGCUUUCCAGCUGGGCCCUGUGAGCCCGUACGCCAGCCUCCCCCACAUACCUGUCUGACUUUCCGGUUGGAAAGGACAUACUUUUGUUUCCCACCGACUGUUUCAGUUUUUUGGGUGCAAUGCAUUUCUGAAAAGAUAAAAAGCCAAUGCAGCCGAGGGACAACCUGACCACAGGACACACACAGGAAACAACACAGGAGCCCAGCUGGCCCGUCCAAGACUCCAGUGCCACCAGGGUGACUGGUUUUCUUGCAAAUGGACCUUUCUGGGUGCUUCUGAAGGCGAGGCCGUCCAGACGAGCUCCCAAAGGAACAGGAGGGCUCCAUACAGGCCUCAGCCUCCGCAUGCCAAACUUGUGGUCACGUUUGGCCCCGCCUGGCAGCAACGCCCACAGGGGCAGAUGCAGGCUUGUGCGGGCGCCCGAGGGAGUGUUUGUGGCCUGUAGCUGUAAUUCCCAUGGCAGUGAACAGCAAACACCCCUUCAAACCACCCGCCAGCCUUCACAACCUCUUUAAAAGUUCAUUUUUAUUGCUGGAAUAGCUGGUAGGUAUUGUCUGUACUUGGGGAGAGAUGAGGUGAGGGAAAGGAUGUGCAGAGGAAGAGGGUUCCUAGCCAGGCUGUCUUCCCAGCAAAGGAAGAGGGGAAAAAAAGCACCACGAGGAGAGAAUUUUCAAGAUUUUUCUUUCUUUUUAAUGGUAUCUUGUAUUUUGUUUUUUGAAUUUGGAAUCAAAGCCUAGUUGACAUAUACGAUCCCAUUAGUUUUCCACAUCAAGUAUAUUUCUUACCUUGC